rnacentral:rRNA from 1 species
UACGGAGGGUGCAAGCGUUAUCCGGAUUCACUGGGUUUAAAGGGUGCGUAGGUGGAUUGGUAAGUCAGUGGUGAAAUCCCCGAGCUUAACUUGGGAACUGCCAUUGAUACUAUUAAUCUUGAAUACCGUGGAGGUCAGCGGAAUAUGUCAUGUAGCGGUGAAAUGCUUAGAUAUGACAUAGAACACCAAUUGCGAAGGCAGCUGGCUACGCGAAUAUUGACACUGAUGCACGAAAGCGUGGGGAUCAAACAGGAUUAG